AUUUAUCCGGGUGAUGGAUGGGGAAUGCGUCUGAUUAGCUUGUUGCGGGUAAGGCCACCAAGGCGACGAUCAGUAGGGGUUCUGAGAGGAAGGUCCCCCACAUUGGAACUGAGACACGGGUCCAAACUCCUACGGGAGGCAGCAGUGAGGAAUAUUGGUCAAUGGACGAGAGUCUGAACCAGCCAAGUAGCGUGCAGGAUGACGGCCCUAUGGGUUGUAAACUGCUUUUAUAAGGGAAUAAAGUGGGAGUCGUGACUCUUUUUGCAUGUACCUUAUGAAUAAGGACCGGCUAAUUCCGUG
rnacentral:rRNA from 1 species